rnacentral:rRNA from 1 species
UACGGGGGGGGUAAGCGUUGUUCGGAAUUACUGGGCGUAAGGGCUCGUAGGCGGCCAACUAAGUCAUACGUGAAUCCCUCAGCUUAACUGGGGAACUGCGUGUGAUACUGGAUGGCUUGAAUCCGGGAGAGGAUGCGGAAUUCCAGGUGUAGCGGUGAAAUGCGUAGAUAUCGAGAGGAACACCGGUGGCGAAGGCGGCGAUCUGGACGAUGACUGACGCUGAGACGCGAAAGCGUGGGAGCAAACAGG